UGGCAGGGUCCCGGAACCAAGAUG
rnacentral:misc_RNA from 1 species